GGGCCUGUGGCGCAGCUGGUAGCGCACCUCGUUCGCAACGAGGGGGUCAGGGGUUCGAGUCCCCUCAGGUCCAC
rnacentral:tRNA from 1 species